GAUGAACGCUGGCGGCGUGCCUAAUACAUGCAAGUCGAGCGAACAGACGAGGAGCUUGCUCCUCUGUCGUUAGCCGAGGACGGGUGUGUAACACGUGGAUAACCUCCCUAUAAGUCUGGUAAAACUUCGGGAAACCGGCGCUAAUACCGGAUAAUAUAUUGAACCGUAUGGUUCAUUAGUGAAAGACGGUUUUGCUGUCACUUCUAGAUGGAUCUGCGCCGCAUUAGCUAGUUGGUAAGGUAACGGCUUACCACGGCAACGAUGCGUAGCCGACCGCAUAGGGUGGUCGGCGACACUGGAACGUGGACGCGGACAAGGGGCCUGCGGGAGGGAGCAGUAGGGAAUCUGCGGCAGUGGGCGAAAACCUUACGGAGUGAGGCGGCGUGAGUGAUGGAAGUGUUGGGAGCGGAAAACCCGGUUAUGAGUGAAGAACAAAUUUGUAAGUAACUGUGGAGUGCGUGACGGUACCGAAUCAGAAAGCCACGGCUAACUACGUG
rnacentral:rRNA from 1 species